AUCUUCCAAGUCAGUUGGAAAGCUGAGCAUUGCGUAAAAGCUGUGAGUUGGUACAUCUAAAGUAUAGAUGAAACUGUUGCAUAUUUCACUACAGUUUUUGGUUUUUAGUAGCAUUCUUUUCACGACUAUAAAAACAUUAGAUUCAAUUAGAUUGGAAUGGCCAAGUGAAAGGGAACAACAUUUGAAGUUUGCCAUCUCAGGACUGUGUGCAAGGCUGGCAAUGUGUCAGCUUUCAUACAACUGGUCUGCCACUUAAAAAGCCCUUGGCAGUUAUUACAAUCUUUUUCUGUAGCAUAAGAAAAAGAAAAAGGCUGGUUGCAAUUACAUUAUUUAAAUAUGUAAAUGAAUGGAUUUAUUUCAGUUAACAAGGAGUUACCUUUGGACUUUUUACCGAUUGGAGUUGGGCUAUGGGUUUUUAAAACGGGGUUUUAGUUGACUUAUUGCAAUGUGUGGCUAAUCUUUAGCUAUAUGUGUUUUAGUCUUUUGUGUGUUGGGUGUGCAGGUUAUGAAGUAGUCUGUUGUAAGGAUGCUAUUCUUUAUGAGACUGGCAAAGUAAUACAAAUAUAAUGGAAAUCGGAGGUUUUGACUGUUAUGAGAUGAAGUUUAGGAGACAGUGAAAAUGUUUACAUGAGACUGGUAUUGCCUACAAUUCUCUUGACAUUCCCUACGUGACUGAAACAAGGAUGGUAGAGAGUUCAGGUUCAACUUCUGCUCCUCUCUUGCUGUCAGAUAAAUGACGGAGAGGAAUGGCAUUUUUACCAGCAAUGAAAGGAAUGCAUUUCAGCAGCAAGUGUUUUGUACGCAGGAUAGGUGCUGUGAACAUAAAGUCUAAAGGAAACAUGUCGGUGCUUUUACCUUUUUGUAAUGUGUUGGAUAUGUUUUAUUUUUUCCAGACGAAACUUCUUUGUUCUUUGACCAGUUCUGUCUCUUGGCGAAUGAUUUGGAGUUGUGUGGGGGAGGCUACAGAAUAGCUGGAUGACGCAGAAUAGGCUUUUACAUUUGAAUGCAGUGGCUGAUGGAAAACUAUUGAGCAUUGCGUGUAGCAGUAGUAACAAUUUGAUUGUGAUGUGCUUACACUCUUAAAAAAGGCAAUUACUUGAUUUGAUGAGUUAUUGGCUCCUCAGCAGAGCCCAGUGCACCUCUUGGUGGGAAGAGGAUGGUUGAAGAGUUGUGACUUGAUGGAGUGUCACUUUGGAUAAUAGCUUGACUUCUGUCAUCUUAUUGGCCAGAUGUAGCAUUUUUGAUUUGCUUUUUUUUUUUUUUCUUCUUGUUGACUUGCUGAGCUGAAGAAGGGUUUUUCAUAUCCUCUAUCCUUUUAUGGGCUUAAAAGUGCAAGGCCAGAGUUAAGAUUCUUAAAUGUUUGUUCCCUUUCAAAGCCAAAGUAUAAUCAUUCGUGAGGAAUAAUACAAUUUAACAACAAAACUACUCCCCAAAUAAUGUAGAGCUGUAUAUUUACACCCCAAAGGUGUCAUGAAUUGAGAAGUUCACAUUUCCUCAAACCAUAAAAAAUAUCCCACAUUGGCCAUUUUCUGUUGUAGGUUUUCUUUUUUCUUUCUUUUUUGAUUCAUCAUAGUGGUAUUGAUCUAACUGACUUGGGUUUUAAAGCUUUGAAAAAAGAGAUGUUUUAUUUAUUUAUUUCAUAUAAUGUUUCUCAAAGAAGAGCUAAUAUAAACAGGAAUAGAAUGUGUGCUGUUGGCUUGGUAACCAUGGAGUGACUUAUGAUGUAAUGCACAAGAACUCGAUUCUGCCACUACCUGGAGACUACACACAAAAAAGGAAAGAAGGCAAUCAUGGCUUAUUCUCUUAUUUUGUGGACAUUGGAGGAUGGCCGCUGGCAUUGGACUUUCGGGGAGUCGGGGAGUGAUGUCGGGCUGAGGCACUCACUCACAUGGGCAUACUUGCACCCUCGCCGCUGGUUGGCACCCUACCUGCCAAGCCCAUACCUGCACACCGUCCAACGCGCCGACAAGUACAAUGGCCCUCCUUGUUCCUCUGAUGCACAGUGAGCUGCGACGACUGGGGAGGCGGUUUGUCCUUGGACUAUUUACUUUUUAAUUGUUGUUUUGUGGAUUGACCGUAGUGGGGAGUUAUUUGUAUCCUUAGGUUUUUAAUACAAUGUGCCUUUGGUUAUCAAUGCCAUUCUUUUUCUUACCCAACAGUAAAGCCCCCUUGACCUGCACACACAGGCAUAUUGAGAUCUAGAAAUAUAUCAUGGUGAUUUAAGAGCAACACCCAAAGACUCUCUCUCUGAGCCAUGAAAUGGUACCUGGGAGACAGAGGCCACUCAAUUUCAGAUGUUUUUACAAGUCGUUUACACACAUGGGGGAUUUAAAUCCCCACAAAACUGAGAAUAAGAGCUUUCUCAAGGACCCUUUGCCAACAGGGAAAUGUAAGUAAACAGAUAGCCAUCAACUUUGCAGCACUGCGAUAGCGACAGCCAUUGCUGCACCUAUCUUGUCUUAACAUCUAGGUAUCCAAGGGGUUACAUUUUGCUUCAGUUUAGCAACUCUAGGGAAAAAAAACACAAUUUAUUAAUAUUUUACCUCAGACUGUUGUGAUAAUUCUUGUGACUAUCAACCCAGGGCAUUUGGUAUAUACCAAAGUGCAUUCCUUUCUAUGUUUGUGGCUAAGGGGCCGGGGCCGGGGUGGGGGAGUGGGGGGGGGGGGGGAAGCAGAAGCCAGUGGAUUUUUCUCUUUAUAAUCAGAGCAAAAGGCACUUGAGCCACUUUUUUGUCUCUCUAAGGGCCAUAUCUGGAGAACGCUUGUCUUCAGUCAUGAAGGAAACCAGAGGGGUCGGGGGAGGGGAGGGGAGGCUAGGGCGUAACUGCCCGUUAGUUACACCAACUGUUGUUGUGAGGUGAAUGAUGUAGCAUAACUCCAAAACGUCUGUUUGACAUGGAUGGAUGUAUCCUCAAUGCAGUGAAAACUGCCCCCCCAACACCCCCUCUCCCCUCCCCAAAAAAUGAGUCAAUAUCCAGCCCUAUGUGCAAAGCCACAGUAGCUGAGUAGGGGGCAACUAGCUUUUUGCGUUCAAAGUUGCAAACACAUAACUUUUUUGCUACGUCUCAGAGUGGUAGUCCUCUCUCUUGAAUUGAGCUACUCACUGUCAACUUCGAAGUCGUCAUUUAUAGAAACAAAAAAGAAAAAAAAGUAAACAAAGCAACAAAGUUGACACCUGUUUGUACUCUACUGCAGUACCUACCUGUACAUAUGUGAAAUUUGAUAUGGAUUUAAUGUGGAUGUGUACAUAUGUAUAAUGUUUUUUUUGUUUUGUUUUUGUGAAAUGCUGCUGAAAAACACUACAUCCGUGUAGUGAGUUUUGAUCAAGGCGGCCAGUUUUAUGAUACUGUAUGUAUUGUACAGCUAUUGGAAGUUAACUUUUUUUUUUCUAGUGAUCAUUUGUUAAAUUUUAUUGUUGUGGCCGGGA
ensembl:lncRNA